rnacentral:tRNA from 1 species
GGCGACGUGGCCGAGCGGUUAGGCAGAGGUCUGCAAAACCUUGUACAGCGGUUCAAAUCCGCUCGUCGCCUCCA